rnacentral:lncRNA from 1 species
GCAGAAGUUCCUGGGGGAGGGAUCAAAUCCGAGCCACAGCUGCAACCUGAGCCACAGCAGUGAUGCCAGGUCUUUAACCUGCUGGGCCACCAGGGAACUCAAACGCCCCCUUUUUUUAGUGGACAAGGAUAAAGGGAAAGAGCCAACCAAGAAAAUCAAGGACAACACAGACCAUUUCCGAUCCAUCUAGAAAGGAGGGCGGCAGGAUCAAGGGAAGGGAACCAAUCUGCAGCACCAGAGGAAGGGCCACAGGGGAAGAGUAAGGUGCAGGGCAUGUCUAAGGAAAUAGGGGGGAGGUCCAAAGAACCGGAGCCAAUCAGGAAGGAAGGGAAUCAGGAAGAAAGAAUGCAGAGACCCAAAAAACCAAGAAGAUGGACAAACCCAGAGGGAACGGGUCGGGGUGGGAUGGAGAGGCGGAAAAGCCUGGAAGAGAAGGUGGGAUUUGGGGCUGAGAGAUCAGGGCCAAUUGGAGUGAAAGAGGCGGGACCAGAGCCAGAGCCAGACGAAUCCGGCGUGAAAUUAAGCAGCCGCCGAACAACCAAUCAGAGGAGUAAGGGAGGGUCCAGCGGAGCGGGAUGGGGGCCGUACCUGCCGGGUGGUGGUUGGUGGCAUAGCUUUGCAGUGGGUGGGGGGCCGCGUAGGCCUGGCGGUGUAAGAUGUCCGUCUCGGGGUGCGAGGUCCUGGAGCUGCCAUAGACCAAGCUGGGGGAAAAGGGGAGACGUUAGGGUAUUCUCUCAAGCUGCCCUGGGAGAAGGGAACCCAACAAAUCCCACAGGGGGUAAGGGGGAAUCUUCCUGAAGGAGGGGUAAUCCUAAGGCAUCUUGGGCCCCACAGGAAAGAAGACAAGGGAAUCGGGGUCCCCAAUUAAAGAGCCAUAAAAAUGGGCCCCACUCGAGUCCCAGUAAAUAGAGCCCAUAUAGCUUUAAAUUUACAAACACAUACGCAGGCAGAAGACAGAGGGUGAAGAGUCAGAGAAAGUGCCUUAAGUUGAAAAUGUGGACCUCCUUUCACAGCCCCCGCCCCGCAGGUGACAUCAGGCCCUGGGGCCAAGCCCAGAGAGAUGCCCCCACUUCUUCAAACACGUGGGAACACAGAGGCCCUGAAC